CAGGGAAAUUAUCUCCUAAAUUCAAAUUGAACAAGUUUCACUUCGACUUUAUUUUACAUAUGUUUAGAUAGGGGCACAAAAAUAUAACCUAGCAUGGUAUUGAUUAUUGAAGUAUGGAGAGUUUUAUUAAAUGACUCCACUUGAUUUAUUAACAUAAACCUGUAUGGAUAGAGAUUUUAUUUAAGAUAAAACAGUUUUGGACCAAUUCAAGCCCGGUCUUCCGAAUAAAAAAUUGAUCAAUCCAAACUUGGAUCAACUUCGAAGCCGAUCAAACAAUAGGCAAAGAGGCAGGGGAACCUUUAGAUUUCAUUAAGGCUUCAGUGAGUUGAAAGUCCACUUCGCUGCUAACUAAUGAACAAUUUCACCUGUAACCAAUAGAAAAAGUUGGGAGGGCAAAUAAUAUGCAAAAAAAGCAUCUACUUUUAACUGUAUAUAUAUAAAUUGCUUUUAAGUUUCACUUCCCCAUCUUCUGCUGUGCAAGUUUAUGCUCUACCAUCUUUCUCCCUUCUGUUGCAACUAUAUAUCUCGUACCAUAAUUAAGUUUCGUGGCAACUCAGGAGGAGUAGAGAGGAAGGAAACCAAAAAUUAUAAAAAAAACCACCGCCAAACAGGGAGGCAAUGGCAAUGACAGGGGUUGGAAAGCCCUCCAUCUCCAAGGUAACAAGAUUGUUUUGUAUCUUGAUGUUACUCCUCUUGAUAAUCUAUUGGAUUGGGUUUUUGCUCUCUCUUUUUUAUAGGGAAUUGAAAUAAAAUUCAUCAUAGUCACGGAUUUUGGUAACUCAUCAGUUUGAUUCUUUGGUUUAGGCUUUUUUAGACUUUAGUUUCUUUUGCUGUAACACCCCUUACUCGAUUUGUCAAGUCCGAACUAUGGGAUGCCAUAACAAUUGCUGAAAUAACUACUAUCAGAAUUAUUAAAAAUAAAUCAAUUAGGCAUCUCAUAAAUACAACUAUUUUUCACUAAUUACACUUUUUCAAAACUUAAUCGAGCUUACGGAAACUCAUUUAUAAACUCGAGUAUAGAUAGGAACCAAUUUGCAAAGUUCUCAAAAUUUCCUCAACUGGUAUCGAUACCACUUGAAGGUACCAAUACAAAAUUUAGUUUUGAUGUUUCAUAAAAUCAAAUUAAAAUCCUAAAGUAUUGAAACUCGGAUCAAUGUAGCGAUACUUCCUUAUAGGUACCGAUACCUUACCAAAGUAUCGAUGUCAAAUUGGUAUUCUGCUUAUUUGAAAACUUGUUUGAAGGAGCUAAGUACCGAUACUUAUGCCAAUGUAUCGAUACUUCAAUACCAAAAUGUCAAAAUCUACCAAAGUUUCAUUCUCAAAACACCUUAAGACACAGACACAUUUGAAACUUGCAUAAAAAUCUCCUUUAACAUAUAUCAAACAUUACUAAAUAUUACAUUAAGCCAAUUCCAAAUCAAUUCAACCAACAUGCCUCAUUUGGACCAAUUCACUCCAAAUGAAC
rnacentral:lncRNA from 1 species